AUGAUAGACACGAUGGAUUGUCAUCAUUUAUUGUUGAUGACAACAAUAAAGAGGCUGCCAACAAGGACAAGCUGUGCCUGCUGUGUAGCUAAUGCAUUAUGGAGACUGUCACAGCUAGUGGUGAUGUGGACCAGAAGAAAAGGGACCCUCAAACAGUGCCCACUUGAAAUAUAUGCUUCUCUUUUUCACCAAAAAGUGGUUACAUACUGGCAGAUAUUUUAAACCAAACAACUUCUGAGAAACACCACAGAUGCUGCCUAAGUCUCUGUAAGUGAUGCUGGGAUUUUCUCCUGGGAUGCUGUCUCCAGAGCCUGUUGAGUCUCUUUAUGUUAGAGGCUCCAAUAACUGUCCUGCAGUAUGGGUUUUCAGAGGCUUUUUCACCAGCAGCACAUGGCUGGUCUUCUCUCAUUUUCGUCAUGUGUCUGUAUCAGAAGCUGAAAUAUUCACCUCAGGACACACUGAUAUGAAUAAGUAAAUCAUAAACAUUUCCCUCUUUUCUUGUCUCUUGUGCCCCUGGUGGCUCAUUCAUCCCUUUUCCGAUAUCCUGCACAUAAAGUAAAUAUGAUAGGUAGACCUGGUGAUUUAGGAAAUAGGAUAUAAAUCAAUAAGCACAAUCUCUUCAGCAUCUUGGUGCAAUGCACUAGGAAUAUAAUGGGCCAACAAAACUCUGUCACAUGAUGCACCCAAUCGUAUGACACUACAUGGAUCUAUCUUUUGGGGACCCUGGCACACUGGUGGUAGCAUGAUAGUAGAAGGGUUGGGGAUGAAAAUGGAUGGUCUCAAUUGCCAAUGAACCUACUGAGCAUGCAGACUUGACUUAUGGUAAAUAUCAUAUUAUUGUCUGUACCUAACAGGUGAAGUCCAACACUUCACGCCUCUGUCAAAUACCCCAACAUAGGAAGGAUCACUGGCUGGCUUGACCUAUCACCCAAGACCAAGGUCUGGUCCAUUCUGAGUUCAAUUUUGAGGAUGCUGGGGGCUGAAUGAACCAUCUAUUGACUCUGCUAUCUUCUUCCAAGUCAUCUCCCUUACCUUGAUGUACCCUUUCUGGAAUCCAGGCCAGACACAGACAGCUGUGUGGGACCCUCCCAACUCCAAUCAAGUUUAGACUCCAGAAAGCCACUACCAACAUGCACUAGCAAUCACUUCUACUAGAAACUUCCUUCUCUCUAGUAUAUGACCCUUUUGGACAGUGUUCUGGACACCACUGCUCAGCCUGAAUUUGACAUUUCCUAAGACCAGCUCUGCAUCUACAUUCACAGACCUUAUAUAUUUCUAG
rnacentral:lncRNA from 1 species